rnacentral:rRNA from 1 species
GUCCACGCCCUAAACGAUGUCAACUAGGUGUUGGGGAAGGAGACUUCUUUAGUACCGCAGCUAACGCGCUAAGUUGACCGCCUGGGGAGUACGGUCGCAAGAUUAAAACUCAAAGGAAUUGACGGGGACCCGCACAAGCGGUGGAUUAUGUGGAUUAAUUCGAUGCAACGCGAAAACCUUACCUACCCUUGACAUGCCAGGAAGCUUCCAGAGAUGGGAGUGUGCCCGAAAGGGAACCUGGACACAGGUGCUGCAUGGCUGUCGU